rnacentral:rRNA from 1 species
GAGUUUGAUCCUGGCUCAGGACGAACGCUGGCGGCGCGCCUAACACAUGCAAGUCGAACGGGACUAUGCGAGAUGAAGUUUUCGGAUGGAAUUUUGUAUAGUUUAGUGGCGGACGGGUGAGUAACACGUGAGCAACCUGCCUUCGAGAGGGGAAUAACGGCUGGAAACGGUCGCUAAUACCGCAUAACAUACGGGAGGGACAUCCCUUUUGUAUCAAAGAUUUAUCGCUCGAAGAUGGGCUCGCGUCCGAUUAGGUAGUUGGUGAGGUAACGGCCCACCAAGCCGACGAUCGGUAGCCGGACUGAGAGGUUGAACGGCCACAUUGGGACUGAGACACGGCCCAGACUCCUACGGGAGGCAGCAGUGGGGGAUAUUGCACAAUGGGGGAAACCCUGAUGCAGCGACGCCGCGUGUAGGAAGACGGUCCUCUGGAUUGUAAACUACUGUCCCCAGGGACGAAGAUGACGGUGCCUGGGGAGGAAGCUCCGGCUAACUA